CAUAAGGUGGACUCCCUCAGUCCACAUAGGCAGAGUCUGGGCAUGACUCUGGUACUUUAGAGCAGAGCACACAGAUCAACGUGCUCUAGUGCAUUAGACAAGCUCCAGUACCACGCAAAAAGUACAACGUGACCUGAUAGUGAGCAGAGGAGGAAGGGAGUGUGCAAGAGGAGAGAACUGGUUGCCCUUCUCUCACAGUGAAGGGGCUUCCCUGCAGUAUGAACUCACACGGACAAGCAGACUACAUUGUUAUGACAGGACCUGGAAAAACUAAGUUCUAGUGCUAGCUCUGAUGAGGACUCGUUGGCAGUCUUGCAAGCAAGUCAGUACACUCAGCCUUCAUUCUUCAAGAAGCUGCAGCCUGUCAAAUAUCCAAAAUCUGUCUCCAUCCCAUACAUGAAGCAGCAAAAGGUGACUGAACACAAUCUCCACUGCCUUCACAGAAGAAAUGCUGCAGUGGAGUGGGGAGAAAAACAUCAGGAAAGUUGCUUCUGCCACCAAGAUAAGUGAUGUUAGGUCUGCUUUGGACUGCAAAUGCAGGAAGGAAUAUUUAAGUAUUUGGAAGUUGUUUGCUAAACAGCUUUUGCCAUCCUCUCUGGGAAAGCAAACAGAUGGAAAUGUAUUGGGUGACAGAUUCAGUUCGUCGCCUAUUGGCUGAAAUACAUUGAUCAGAAA